rnacentral:rRNA from 1 species
UACGGGUGCAGCAGGCGCGAAAACUUGGCAAUGCGAGAAAUCGUGACCAGGGAANUCCAAGUGGCUGGGGUAAGACCCAGUCUUUUCUUGACUCUUCAAAGGUCUUGGAAUAAGGGGUGGGUAAGGACGGUGCCAGCCGCCGCGGUAAUACCGGCGCCUCAAGUGGUAGUCGAUUUUAUUGGGCCUAAAACGUCCGUCGCCUGUUUGGUACAUUCGUGGGUAAAUCAACCAGCUCAACUGGUUGAAUUCUGCGAGCACGGCCAGACUUGGGACCGGGAGAGGUGUGGGGUACGCUCAGGGUAGGGGUAAAAUCCUGUCAUCCUGAGCGGACCACCUGUUGCGAAGGCUCCACACUAGAACGGAUCCGACGGUCAGGGACGAAGCCUAGGGGCACGAACCGGAUUAGAUACCCGGGUAGUCCUAGGUGUAAACGCUGUGGACUUGGUGUUGGGAAGGUUCCGAGCCUUCUCAGUGCCGAAGCGAAGGUGAUAAGUCCACUGCCUGGGGAGUACGGUCGCAAGGCUGAAACUUAAAGGAAUUGGCGGGGGAGCACCGCAACCUGAGGAUUGUGCGGUUUAAUUGGAUUCAACGCCGGAAAACUCACCAGUGCCGACGGACAAAUGAAAGCCAGUGUGAUGAGCUUGCUGGAUUGUUCGAGAGGUAGUGCAUGGCCGCCGUCAGUUCGUACCGUAAGGCGUUCUGUUAAGUCAGAUAACGAACGAGACCCUCAUCCCUAUUUGCUAAGGUCAGUCCGCUGAUCACAGGACUAUAGGGAGACCGCUGGCGCGAAGUCAGAGGAAGGCGAGGGCAACGGUAGGUCAGUAUGCUCCGAAUGCACUGGGCUACACGCGCAAUACAAAGGACGGGACAAUGGGCCGCUGCGCCGAGAGGCAUGUGGCUAUCCCGAAACCCGUUCGUAGUUCGGAUUGAGGGCUGUAACUCGCCCUCAUGAAGCUGGAUUAGGUAGUAAUCGCGUCUCAAAAAGGNGCGGUGAAUAUGCCCCUGCUCCUUGCACACACCGCCCGUCAAACCAUCUUAGUUGGGGGUGGGUGAGGCUACCUUUUAGUGGGGUAUUCGAGCCUG